rnacentral:lncRNA from 1 species
ACCUGACUUAGACAUCAAAGAAUCCGAUCAGAGCAAAUCCGACAAGCUUUUUUAUUCUUUUGUGUGCAAAUCUACGACAUCAAGAUAAAUCAUAUUCCACCAUUGCAAAUUGAACAACACCCUCCAGAUGGUCCUGGCCAAGCCGGACUGUGGCAGCAACAAGUACCAUAGUCAAAUGUUUUGUAUCAUCACUUAGGCUCAA